CGCCCUCCUUCCUCCCAGCACCCGCUCCGCCCCGCGGCGAGUCCCGAGGUCAACUGCCCUCCCGGCCAGGGCUUAGGACCUUCGUCCCCGCUGUCAUGGGGGACAGAGCAGAGGAUCUGAAUGGUUGGGGCCUCUUUGAGGGGCCUCUCUGGUGACCGAAUCCAACUCUCUGAGCUUCUGAGUUUUUGAGGCAACUGUUGACAGACUGCGUUUUCCCAGCCAGAAGAGCCAACAUUUCUAGGGAUUUCUUCGCAGCUUUUGUUGUUAAAAUACCGCCUAAUACUUUGUGAGCCCCAUCAUGUGCAUAUCUUGGUUAGCAAUUAAUCUAGAGUGGUCAAAGUGCAGGAAGGCUGCAUCCUGGAACACACAUGCCUGCAAUAGGUCAGAGCAGCUGUUGGCACUCUCUGGGCAGGGAAACUGACAGCAGCUCUUUACUCUGCCCCCUGCAGCCGUUCUGCAGCGGUGAGAACGCCGAGGCGUUAAAACAGGCUGGGCCCUGCCCCUGCCUCUUCUUUCACCUUCCCUGAUCCAGCCGGCCUCCACCUGCCGACCUUCACCUACCCGGGCCCAUGUUACCCCUUAACCAUGUCUUUUCCUUGGCACUCGGCAUGUUUCUUUUUCAGCUGUGACUCCGUUCCAUUCAUGCUCUAGACUUAAACCUGAAACCGUUUCUCAGAACCUUCCAGUGGAAGCUGACUUGUGCUCUUGGAUGCAAAAAGUGGCCGUUUAAACAAACAAAAGCCUUUUCAGCCAGAGGGGGUUCCAAGAUUUGGAAAAGUCCAGGUGACUGGGAACAUGGAUGCUAAACUUCUGCUGAGCCUAAGAAUUAUUGUUAUAUUCGAUACCAACAGGGGAGACUGCUCAACCCCUUGGUGCCCUCCCCCAGCUCCCACGCCUGCUCCACCUCAGGCCUCGCCUGUCUACUCCAAUUUGGUCACUUUCUUGUCACCACCUUAGUCCCAGCCAGUGCCCGGUCCAGCCAUACUGAAGCCUGAGGCAAAGGCAAUUUCAGUAACACCAAUCCUGUCUUUAAUUAAAAUUUUGAUAUUUUGUUCAUAA
rnacentral:lncRNA from 10 species